rnacentral:rRNA from 1 species
CACGUAGGGCGCAAGCGUUGUCCGGAAUUAUUGGGCGUAAAGAGCUCGUAGGCGGUUUGUCGCGUCGGGAGUGAAAAACCUCGGGCUUAACUCGGGGCUUGCUUUCGAUACGGGCAAACUAGAGUAUUGCAGGGGAGACUGGAAUUCCUGGUGUAGCGGUGAAAUGCGCAGAUAUCAGGAGGAACACCGGUGGCGAAGGCGGGUCUCUGGGCAAUAACUGACGCUGAGGAGCGAAAGCGUGGGGAGCGAACAGG